rnacentral:snRNA from 1 species
UUAUUCAUGUUUAUCCUCAUAUCGUAUAAAUCUUUUGUUUCUUACUAAAGAUUUUCAUGUGAAGGAGCAAGCAAGAGUUUAGCUUAAACUUUUUGAGGCCUUGCUUUAGCAAGUCU